rnacentral:misc_RNA from 1 species
UGGCUUGUCAAUUGUAAUUUAUAUAACAUAUCAGAAUAACUGUCAUCUUUACAAUAAUAAGCAUGCUCACUGCCUUGGACAUGCACUGAGCAUCUGAAUACAGAAGUUGCCAGCUUGUUCAAUUACCAUCAAUGGACGUUAAAAGCAGAACACCAGGUUGUAAUUCAAAAUUUUAUGUGGAGAAUUUCGUUACUUGUUCAUGGUGCCACCACAAUUAAUAUUGUGGUAGAUCAGUUGAGAUAAUGGUAAUCCAAUCAUAUUGGUGCUUGAUUGUUUCGGUAUAAACUAUUAAAAAUUUUUCCUUCCUUUUGCUUGGAUAAGUAUUUUGUCAUUUUGUCUUUUCUCACUACUUUUUUGCAUUAAGCAUUGAAAUUUUGCCUCUCGCUUUAUGGGCCAAUUCAAACUCUUCUUCUAUCUCUUUAUUAACAUGUGCAGAACAUGGUAAUGUAACAAAUAAAGGAGCUAGGGGUACAGCAAGGGGGUCAUUGCCCCCUUAACUCAUGAAGUUCUUAAUAUAGGCAAAUUUGCAUGACCCUUUCAAAUUUAGUGCAUGCCCCCCACCAUCUCUUUCCAAGUAUUUAGCUAUCUUUUUGAUCCUAGCUCAUAGCUAGAGAAGUUCAUUUUCAUUUUUUUUUUCUAUUUUGAAAUUGGAAUCUGAUACAAUGUGGAGGG